CCUUCCACUUGGCCCAGGGCUGGGUGCUUUCCUGUCUGCUCCAGGGCACUGUAAGAGA
rnacentral:miRNA from 1 species